rnacentral:misc_RNA from 1 species
GCAAAUCAUUGAUGAUAAGUCUAUCUUACGUGAAUUAUUUGUGUUGUGUAAACUCAUGUGAUUUGAUGUUGCAUAUUUAUGAAUUGAAUAAUAUGACAAACGAAUAUCCGUUAGUUUACUCACUGAACUUUCCAAAAAUUACCCUCUUCCCUUAAUCCCAAGUAAAGUGUUAUAGGAUUAGAGACAUAUACAAGAAAUGAUAAGAAGAAGCUGUGAUGUAGCAAGUUGUAUAUGUAUGAUUUGAGGUUUAUCAGUGGAUAUUUAAUUGUAAUGAUUAAAUACUGUGCUUGGUUUUA